GCCGGGCAUGGUGGUGCAUGCCUGUAAUCCCAGCUACUUGGGAGGCUAAGGCAGGAGAAUCGCUUGAACCCAGGAGGCAGAGGUUGCAGUGAGCCAAGAUUGCGCCACUGCAUUCAUGCCUGGGCGACAGAGCGAGACUUUGUCUCAA
ensembl:misc_RNA Metazoa_SRP Metazoan signal recognition particle RNA